rnacentral:rRNA from 1 species
UACGGGGGGGGCAAGCGUUGUUCGGAAUUACUGGGCGUAAAGCGUGCGCAGGCGGUUGUGCAAGACAGAUGUGAAAUCCCCGGGCUUAACCUGGGAAUGGCAUUUGUGACUGCACGGCUAGAGUGUGUCAGAGGGGGGUAGAAUUCCACGUGUAGCAGUGAAAUGCGUAGAUAUGUGGAGGAAUACCGAUGGCGAAGGCAGCCCCCUGGGAUAACACUGACGCUCAUGCACGAAAGCGUGGGGAGCAAACAGG